AAAAUUACGUCAACACGUAGAAUAACGCUGCGUGUUUGAAUCUAUGGUUUGAAUGCAUUUCAGGGGACCUUUAAACAUUUUGGAUCAUUACAGUAUAUAUUUUCUAACAGCAGAAGGUAGCAUUGUUCUUCUCUAUACUUCCUGCAUUCCCGAAGUGUCUCGUGGUCAUAAUGAUGCCAAUGAGCAUUAACAGAAGCAGCAGGAAGAUUGCCAGGAUGUAGCCUACUUGGUGCAAGAGGCCUGCCAGGCGAGAGGGGAGAGGGACAAGGUUUCAUGUCAGAAUGGCCAAAACAGGCCUAAUGAGUUCCAGACCUGACAUCAUACCACAGCAACGGAGAAGAGAGAGAAAAAAACACAAACCACCAGAACUGGAAGCGAUAGUGCAGGCAGAGAGAAAUACCACCACUUCAUGGUCAGUCUGUCUGGAGACAUUUUCCACUUCUUUAGUGCCCCAUAAUAACAGGGAGAAUUUCAGGGAUUGCAUUCAAGUAGCACUUAUAAGACCAAAUAAACCAAACAAACUCACUGAAUACUGCUGUUUGUUUGUUUGUUUUCAAUCAGUAUUGUAAACUUUGUUCUUAGCAUAACAACACAAAAAUGACUUCUUCAUCCUAAAACUAACAUGUUGACUAACAUUAUGAUUACUUCAUGAGUCAGUGUGUCUCACUGCAAUGAACAAUGAAGAAUCAAAUGAGUCACACAUGCUAAGACUGCUCAUAUUUGUGUAAUACUGAGGUGUUUAACGUUUAACAGUGGAAAAUAUAUUGGCAUACAACACAUACAGAAAUGUUGGGUAUUAUUUCUAAGGCCAUUUUUGUUCAUUAUUCAUAGGACAGCUGGAGAGAACA